rnacentral:rRNA from 1 species
AUUGAACGCUGGCGGCAGGCUUAACACAUGCAAGUCGAGCGGAGAUGAGGUGCUUGCACCUUAUCUUAGCGGCGGACGGGUGAGUAAUGCUUAGGAAUCUGCCUAUUAGUGGGGGACAACAUUCCGAAAGGAAUGCUAAUACCGCAUACGUCCUACGGGAGAAAGCAGGGGAUCUUCGGACCUUGCGCUAAUAGAUGAGCCUAAGUCGGAUGAGCUAGUUGGUGGGGUAAAGGCCUACCAAGGCGACGAUCUGUAGCGGGUCUGAGAGGAUGAUCCGCCACACUGGGACUGAGACACGGCCCAGACUCCUACGGGAGGCAGCAGUGGGGAAUGUUGGACAAUGGGGGGAACCCUGAUCCAGCCAUGCCGCGUGUGUGAAGAAGGCCUUAAGGUUGUAAAGCACUUUAAGCGAGGAGGAGGCUACUGAGACUAAUACUCUUGGAUAGUGGACGUUACUCGCAGAAUAAGCACCGGCUAACUCUGUGCCAGCCGCCGCCGUAACAC